GUUGCGGUGGCCGGGUGGCCAAGUCGUUGGACUAGAAAUCCAAUGGGAUCUUCCCGCACUGGUUCGAGUCCUGCCGGCAACG
rnacentral:tRNA from 1 species